rnacentral:snoRNA from 1 species
UCCCUCCAGAUUCCUUACCCAUAAGAUCUGAACAUUGGUCCGAGUGGCUCUCAAAGGAGGAACAGCCAAACUGACAGGUCUUGGAGUCUUUUGUGACAUGCAAGUCUGUUUCAAACAAAC